rnacentral:rRNA from 1 species
UGAGGAAUAUUGGUCAAUGGGCGGGGAGCCUGAACCAGCCAAGUCGCGUGAGGGAAGACGGUCCUAUGGAUUGUAAACCUCUUUUGUUCGGGGGAGCAAAGAGGCCACGUGUGGUCAAAAGCGAGAGUACCCGAAGAAAAAGCAUCGGCUAACUCCGUGCC